rnacentral:rRNA from 1 species
CAAGAGCGUAUGUAAAAGUUGUUGCAGUUAAAAAGCUCGUAGUUGAACCUUGGGUUUGGUUGGCCGGUCCGCUUUUUUGCGAGUACUGGAUUCAACCGAGCCUUCCCUUCUGGCUAACCAGUCGUUUCGGCGGCUGGCGAACCAGGAUUUUUACUUUGAGAAAAUUAGAGUGUUCAAAGCAGGCAUUAGCUUGAAUAUAUUAGCAUGGAAUAAUAGAAUAGGACGUUAUGGUUCUAUUUUGUUGGUUUCUAGGACCAUCGUAAUGAUUAAUAGGGACGGUCGGGGGCAUCAGUAUUCAGUUGUCAGAGGUGAAAUUCUUGGAUUUACUGAAGACUAACUACUGCGAAAGCAUUUGCCAAGGACGUUUUCAUUAA